UUCCGGUCACAGCAUCUGGUCCUCGUUAGUUUUCGUGUGUUUAAAACUUCCAUCCAUCCAUUUUAUUUAAUCCUUUAAAUAUUUACAUUUAUUUCACCUGCAAUAAACGAUUGCGCUUCAUUAACUCGCUCUUCAGCUUCUGUUAAAUGUCCCUUUUUGGCCGAUUUGUGUUUAUUGAGUGUGACUCAUCAUUAUUAAGGAAUCGGAAGUUGCGAAGCAAGGUUGGUUGCAUGAACAAAGGCACUCGCUCUCUGGUAACCGAGCGACGCAGGACGUGAUCACUGAUCAGUGGGAGUGGCACGCUAACAGCCAAUCAGAUAGCUGAAGCCAUAACAUCAGAGGAAGCUUGUAGUUACCUAUAAGCAGGUAGGUGGCUAGCGGUGCCACCACAAAGCCCGUGAGCGCCUCCUGCUGCAGGUUGCCGACGUAGCAAAGGCCAGUCAGGUCGUCAGCGUCCACCAGUCUCAUGAUGAGAAUGACGAUGGUUUUAACAGCCGGGAUAGCCCAAGCUGCGAUGUGGAAGUAGGAGCUGUGCAUCUCAAUAGCCUCGUGGCCCCACUUCAGUCCCGCGGCCAAGAACCACGUCAGGGUCAGGAUCACCCACCUGGAGGGCGGAUGGAAAAAGUGCUGCGUUGCCCUUCUGUCAGACUUUCAACCGGAAGUACAAAUGCCGCUUCCAUAGCGUUUCUGCUCGUUUGGAUUCUUCAUUCAUCACUCCAAGCGACGUUUGUAAGUUUAACAAUAUAACUAAAACAAUUCUUACUUACUAAACCGUCCCAUGUGUGAUGUCUGUAGGAGUGUUUUCAUGCAUAUUUGUACGCGCUAUCCUAAUGUAAUGAAGCUAGCGUUGUUAGCAUUAGCUAAUAUGCUAAAAGGUUUAUAGUAUUACCUUACAAUGGCAUUCUUUUUGUGUUGAUUCAGUUUUGGAAAUUCACUAAAAUGUCACUGUGUAGUUAUUGAGUCUGUUUGGCUGAUUGGAGAGCUAGCUUCCAUGACCAUGACUUCUGUUUUGUUUGAUCAGCCGUUUAACUGCCUUGUUACAAACACCGUUUGGAAA